rnacentral:rRNA from 1 species
UACGGAGGGAGCUAGCGUUGUUCGGAAUUACUGGGCGUAAAGCGUGCGUAGGCGGUUAUUCAAGUCAGAGGUGAAAGCCCGGGGCUCAACCCCGGAACUGCCUUUGAAACUAGAUAGCUAGAAUCUUGGAGAGGUCAGUGGAAUUCCGAGUGUAGAGGUGAAAUUCGUAGAUAUUCGGAAGAACACCAGUGACGAAGGCGACUGACUGGACAAGUAUUGACGCUGAGGCACGAAAGCGUGGGGAUCAAACAGG